CCCUUAGAUGUUCUGGGCUGCACGCGCGCUACACUGAUGCAUCCAACAAGUUUUUUCCUUGUUCGAGAGGACUAGGUAAUCUUAUGAGAAUGCAUCGUGACGGGGAUAGAUUAUUGCAAUUAUUAAUCUUCAACGAGGAAUGCCUAGUAGGCGCAAGUCAUCAGCUUGCGUCGAUUACGUCCCUGCCCUUUGUACACACCGCCCGUCGCUCUUACCGAUUGGGUGUGCUGGUGAAAUGUUCGGAUCGGCCGUUUGUCGCGGUUUCCGCGUCAUGUGGCUGAGAAGUUCAUUAAACCCUCCCACCUAGAGGAAGGAGAAGUCGUAACA
rnacentral:rRNA from 1 species